UACGUAGGGGGCAAGCGUUGUCCGGAUUUACUGGGCGUAAAGCGCGCGUAGGCGGAACGAUCAGUCCGGUCUGAAAGCCCCCGGCUCAACCGGGGAGGGUGGCUGGAAACUGUCGUUCUUGAGGGCGAGAGAGGAGGGUGGAAUUCCUGGUGUAGCGGUGAAAUGCGCAGAUAUCAGGAAGAACACCAACGGCGAAGGCAGCUCGCUGGGACGGUACUGACGCUGAGACGCGAAAGCGUGGGGAGCGAACAGG
rnacentral:rRNA from 1 species